ncrna:unclassified sequences IS605-orfB-I RNA
UCCGGAUAAACUUGUAUCCAUCCAAGUGAAUGGGGCAAGUCACUUUACGGAAUUAAAUUAAGUAACACAUUUUAGGAUUGCCAAAGUCUUACAUAUAAGUGAAAUCCUUGAAUGAUUAGGAUAACCGUAUGUCCUUUAGCAUUAAUUGUGCUAUAAAAAUAAUCUUGAAUAACUUUAAUUAAGUUUUCAAGUUACGGCCGG